rnacentral:rRNA from 1 species
CAGUCGAGCGAAUGGAUUAAGAGCUUGCUCUUAUGAAGUUAGCGGCGGACGGGUGAGUAACACGUGGGUAACCUGCCCAUAAGACUGGGAUAACUCCGGGAAACCGGGGCUAAUACCGGAUAACAUUUUGAACUGCAUGGUUCGAAAUUGAAAGGCGGCUUCGGCUGUCACUUAUGGAUGGACCCGCGUCGCAUUAGCUAGUUGGUGAGGUAACGGCUCACCAAGGCAACGAUGCGUAGCCGACCUGAGAGGGUGAUCGGCCACACUGGGACUGAGACACGGCCCAGACUCCUACGGGAGGCAGCAGUAGGGAAUCUUCCGCAAUGGACGAAAGUCUGACGGAGCAACGCCGCGUGAGUGAUGAAGGCUUUCGGGUCGUAAAACUCUGUUGUUAGGGAAGAACAAGUGCUAGUUGAAUAAGCUGGCACCUUGACGGUACCUAACCAGAAAGCCACGGCUAACUACGUGCCAGCAGCCGCGGUAAUACGUAGGUGGCAAGCGUUAUCCGGAAUUAUUGGGCGUAAAGCGCGCGCANGUGGUUUCUUAAGUCUGAUGUGAAAGCCCACGGCUCAACCGUGGAGGGUCAUUGGAAACUGGGAGACUUGAGUGC